GAGUGGAAGUGUUUGUCGCGAUGUGACCGUUCGUACGAUUGUAUCUUGUUUAUCGUUAACGCGUUUAAGAAAAAGAUGUGCAUUUUGUGGAAAUGUGCCUGUUUUCUGUAGCGACUCUUGAUUGUUAAAAGAUUUUAUUGACAAUAAAAUCAAUAUCAUUUGAUCGAAACAACCGCUGGAUUAUUUACAAAAGUAUAAUGGUUAUCGUCAGCGUAUUUAGCAGGGUAAAAGGCGGCUUUGGACUGGACACAGUAAUACGACAGUGAACUGUACAGCUUAUAUGCUAAAUUUGUUGUUUUGAAGUUCUAAUUGUGUGGUGAAUUGGUGAUAAGAAGUCGAAUGAAGUCGAAAAUAGUGAAGAUGAAAUAUUUGCCUACGGGCGGUCACAAGGAAUCUUAUACCUUAAUCACUGCGAGAAGAAGAUAUAUGAAGAAACUAAUGCGGCAGCACGUUUCGGCGCCAUGGAGCUCCACAACUACAGGCGGCACUCGUGCUCAGCACGAACUGUUUGAGUUGCUUGAGCGUGUACAAUGUUCUCGACUUGACGACCAGAGGGCGGUACUGCCACCUUACUUUUC